GAUGAACGCUGGCGGCGUGCUUAACACACGCAAGUCGAACGGUGAACACGGAGCUUGCUCUGUGGGAUCAGUGGCGAACGGGUGAGUAACACGUGAGCAACCUGCCCCUGACUCUGGGAUAAGCGCUGGAAACGGCGUCUAAUACUGGAUAUGUGACGUGACCGCAUGGUCUGCGUUUGGAAAGAUUUUUCGGUUGGGGAUGGGCUCGCGGCCUAUCAGCUUGUUGGUGAGGUAAUGGCUCACCAAGGCGUCGACGGGUAGCCGGCCUGAGAGGGUGACCGGCCACACUGGGACUGAGACACGGCCCAGACUCCUACGGGAGGCAGCAGUGGGGAAUAUUGCACAAUGGGCGCAAGCCUGAUGCAGCAACACCGCGUGAGGGAUGACGGCCUUCGGGUUGUAAACCUCUUUUAGCAGGGAAGAAGCGAAAGUGACGGUACCUGCAGAAAAAGCGCCGGCUAACUACGUG
rnacentral:rRNA from 1 species